UGUUUCUGGACACUUUUAGAGGAUGAUACAAAGAUAGUUUUUUCCAAACGUAUUUGACUACACAAUUGAUUUUUGUUUUUCCCUGGAUACGGUUGGGUUUAAUUUUCCAAAGAACACACUUUAGGAAACACUGAGAUCUGGGGGAAAAAAAAAAAAAAAGAAAUAGGUGUUCAUAGUCAUAAGUACCCGAAUCCCCAGCAACAUCUUACCAAAAAAAAAGCCUCCCACGCCUAACAGGAUGAACAUUUUUCCUCAUAGUUAAACAUGAACAACCACCAGACCAGUGGCUUUCAAACUGUAAAACUCAGCCUAUCCAUAUUCAUAUGUGUGUGUGUAAAAAAAAAAAAUCAUUGAAAUAAAAGUCUCCUGAAACAAUUUUUAACCUUAAUAGGUGCAAUGCAAACUAUUAUUUUGUAUUUUAUUCUUUCUCAGUUUUUUGUUUGUUUUUGCUGGGACCAUCUAUUUUUAUUUCAUUGCCUGGGGACGUCAACUUACAUUUGGAAAAUAUUGUGUCACAAUUCUACUCUAUGACACAAUGGCCAUUAGCCACAGGUGGCUACUGAGCAUUCGAAACAUAGCUACUCUGAAUUGGGAUGCGUGGUCAGUGUAAAAUUCACAGGAUUUCGAAGACUUUGUAAGCUUCCACCUCCCAAAGUACAUCUGCUCUCCUUACGUGGACUUCGGAAAUGGGCAUUACUCAGGCUGGAGAUGAAUCAGCACACAAUGAAGGAGUCAGGCAGGGGAUCCAGACAAAGGAGAGAAGUAUUGAAAAAAAAUCCCCAUUUAUACCAAAUCAAGAAAGUGAUCCUUUCAGCAGAGGCUGUCUCAAGAAACUUCCACUCCUUCGCAAUGCAAAUUUAACUAAACAACUUGAUUUUCCCAUCAAGUUCAUUAAAAAUGGGAUAAUUUCACA